AAUUUGUUAUUUUGAGUUUUGUUUGAGUUUAAUUAGGUUUCCCUGUGCUAUGACUCAGAUUUUCUUCGAAACAUUAUCACUUAUUAUUUCCAAACAAAUUGAAAUAAUAAUUGAAGAUUGUAUGUAAAACAGCUGUUGUACGUAGUCAUUAACAUUCCCUUGAUAAGUAAUAUUUCGAAUUAACUUUUUUCGCGAUCGGUGUUUUAAAUUGUUGUUUUAAUUUUGCGAGGGGCUUUGUUUUUCCGGCUUAUGAAUAUAUAUACAUACCAGUGAAAUUGACGUAUAUCGUACAUUGUUUACGUAGAUUAUAUCUUGUUGUCACUUCAUCAUGGGAGACUUAAUAGAAAUAACAACAUGGCCCAAGCACCUGAAUGCAUUUUACAAGAUCACAAGUAAUGCCCUGGCUUUUGAAGUGAUGGCUAACGGCAAUGCUGCAAUAGGGCUGUCAAGGAAACCAGCUAAUGACUGUGAAUUUUGGAUUGUUAUGGGUGAAAGGCAGCAAUGCUGGAUUAAGAAGCACAAUAGCUCUCGUAGAGAGACAGCAAACACUCCUGGGAUCCUCAGCGGGGAGGAAUACCGCAAGUUUUGGUUGACUUGGGCCAACGGCUGUGUGCGCCUCGGCAGAGAUGGUUACUCUGAUGCCAUUGUUACAUGUGCCAAUGACAUAAAUGAUAUUAAAUAUGUUACAUUUUCGGUUGUGGAGCAGAGGAACCCUGUCCACUGGCGAUUUGAAAUACCACCACAAGCAGAGAAACUAAAUCACCAACCCAUAACAGGAUGUGACCUUCAGUGGGUGACGUACGAACCGGAGCAGGAGCUCCCGGCAGAGCCUCUGGUGGGGGGCUUUGAGGGUGAAAGGCUAUAUGUUGCUCGGGCAAAACACCGGGGCUCCCUGACGCCCGGGAAGUUCGUGUUUUCUGCUGGAAAAGCGUAUGUUUCGUGGGGAGGACAAGCUAAUGAGAAACAGGAAUUUGAGGUCCUGUGCGGUUUUGACGGAGUCUGGAAACCAGCUGUAGAGGAUAAAAUACCUGUAGGAGCUUUCGUCGCAGGCCAUUCCGAAGACGCGCUAGAAAGACUCUAUAUCGGCAGGGUAGAACAUGAGGGACACCUCAUUCCUGGGAAAAUCCAACCGUCACAUCGAGUAUGUUACUUCCCUUACCAAGGCAGAGAAGUGGGCUCCAAGAAAUAUGAAGUUCUAGUCGUCCCAACUGAAAACGAAAGAUGUGUUAAUAAAGUUUACGUAACAGACAGAUGUUGGCAACCUGAUAUGGAAGAUUAUGACGUGGCAGAUUCAGAUAUAUCUAAUGAUACCGACGAAGAGCCGUUUGCGGAGGGAGCUGAACCUGACGGCCCAGUUUACAUGUUCUAAUACAUUUUAAUUAUCAUGUAUUAGAAUUAGAUCUUAUAUACCUAUCAAACUCAGGAAGCAACCGUACCAAGGAGGUUCGGUUGUGGAACUCGCUACCUCUGGACUAGAGGCAUGCGCCGGCUGUUUCGUCGGAGGCGCCGACGCCAACGACGCGCCCUACAAGACUGAAAAUACUGCUCAAGUGGGCCCUAAGUCUUCAGUUGAUGGGGAAACUGUACUAUAUAUUGCUCAGGGGAUAACUAAGCAAAAUAUUAAUAUACAAUAUACAUCCCUUUUUCACUGAACGGCUUGGCAUGAGAAAGUUUAACUUAAUUAGUAAUCAUUAUAUUUACAUUGUUUGUAUUCGUGUCCUGUUAUUAUAAGAAAGGUGUCCUUGUUAAAAGGAGCAUUAAUACAGUUAAAUAAGUAGUGUAUGUAAGUAAAAUAAUAUGACAGUGGUUCUCUGUAUUUCAAGAUGGUUAAAAGAAGACAUGCUUUACGAUUGUAUUUGUCUCUAGCUACCUCGCUACUAUUAAUUAAGUAACAUAAUCGCCAUUCAUAACUGGGUGAUAAGUGAAUGUAAGUUUCUGGAUUUCCUUUUAGAUAAUUUAAUAGUGUAUAAUGUUAUCCCAUCUACCUAAAAAGUUACGUAUUGUAUUUGUAAUAAUUAAAAAAAACAUAAUGAACACA